AGACGUGGACCGUUUUCUGGUUCAGUUCGUCCCAUCUCCGUUUCCCCAGAAGACUAAAACGUCGUCGGAAAGAGAGAAAGCGAGAGAGCGAGAGAGCGAGAGAGCGAAAGAGCGAGAGAGGGAGAGGAUCGUAAAUUUUUUUUCUUGUUCAGCGUUUGCAACUCCCAAACGGUAGAGAGAAAGCUCUCCUCUUCCCCUUGUUUCAGAACAAAGCAAAAAAAAAAGCAAAGUUUCUUCUAACGAAGCCCGUACUUGCAGGCGAUUAAAGGGUUCGCGGGCGCUGACCUUAGAGCUGAAGUAGAGUUUAAUAGCAUGAGCACUCGUGGUCCGAGGCGGCCUUUGAAAGGGUAUGUGAGGGACUCUUGCCGGAGAAGGAUGGUACUGGACGUGGACCUCAAUGAUACACCUCCGGGUGAGGGGAGAGCUCUGGAGGAGAUCUUCACUGGAAGUGGGUCUCAGCAGGGGGGGCAGAGUAGUUUGCAAGGAGGGGCUUUGCCACCUGCUGCAACAAUUGAUGUGGAAGCCAUUGAUGAUGAAGUUGUGAUCUCAUCCCCAAGGAGUUUUGCUGAAGCUAGGAACAAGUCUAGGAGGAAUCAUGGGGUACCUUUACUGCUUGAGGAAGAAUCCGGUGUUAAUCAAGGUGACCCAAUAAAUAGGCUCAAUGGUCAAAAUAAACGCAGAAGAGUUCCGCCAAACCAGACUAUUAUCAACUGUGAGUUCUACAUAAACUUGGAAGGCAAUAACAGUGUGAAGAAUGAGAAGAAACCUCCAGAGCUGCCCACACCACCAGCACCAGCACCACCACCGAAGGAGCCCACCUUCAGCUGCCCUGUUUGCAUGGGCCCACUGGUUGAGGAAAUGUCAACUAAGUGUGGCCACAUCUUCUGUAAGAAGUGCAUCAAGGCUUCUAUAACAGCUCAGAGUAAAUGUCCUACCUGCAGGCGAAGGCUGACAAUGAAAGACAUCAUUAGGAUCUACCUUCCUGCCACCAAUUGAGAGAGGCUUAUACAUACCCAUACCCAUACCCAUACCCAUCAGAUUUAUGUAAGGUGGGUUUGCAUCGUCGGUAUAGGGGGCAUCGGGUUUAGGCAAGGGGAAUCAUUGCAGUGUAGCUUGGGGGAAGGAACAAGGGAUGAACAUGAAGCUGUCAUUUUCUUUUGGUUCUAAAUCUAGAUUUAAAAUUUGACUUUAUCUGGUUGAGAAGUUCAAUCCCCAAUGGUUGUGAUUGGCUAGGACAUUUACUAUCCUUCCCUUCAGAUUUAUAGUUUUGAACUUUCUUUC